rnacentral:rRNA from 1 species
UGGGGAAUAUUGCGCAAUGGGCGGAAGCCUGACGCAGCGACGCCGCGUGAGGGAUGACGGCCUUCGGGUUGUAAACCUCUUUCAGCAGGGACGAAGCGAAAGUGACGGUACCUGCAGAAGAAGCACCGGCUAACUACGUGCCAGCAGCCGCGGUAAUACGUAGGGUGCGAGCGUUGUCCGGAAUUAUUGGGCGUAAAGAGCUCGUAGGCGGCUUGUCACGUCGGUUGUGAAAUCCCGGGGCUCAACCCCGGGUCUGCAGUCGAUACGGGCUGGCUAGAGUGCGGUAGGGGAGACUGGAAUUCCUGGUGUAGCGGUGAAAUGCGCAGAUAUCAGGAGGAACACCGGUGGCGAAGGCGGGUCUCUGGGCCGUAACUGACGCUGAGGAGCGAAAGCGUGGGGAGCGAACAGGAUUAGAUACCCCCGUAGUCC